rnacentral:rRNA from 1 species
AGAGUUUGAUCCUGGCUCAGAACGAACGCUGGCGGCGUGCCUAACACAUGCAAGUCGAGCGGGAUGAGGGGCUUGCUCCUCAUCUAGUGGCGCACGGGUGAGUAACGCGUAGAUAAUCUGCCUGACGAUCUGGGAUAACACUUCGAAAGGGGUGCUAAUACCGGAUAAGCCCGCGUGAUCUUUGGAUCGUGCGGGAAAAGGGGGGGACCUUUUGGCCUUCUGUCGUCAGAUGAGUCUGCGUACCAUUAGCUAGUUGGUAGGGUAAAGGCCUACCAAGGCGACGAUGGUUAGCUGGUCUGAGAGGAUGAUCAGCCACACUGGAACUGAGACACGGUCCAGACUCCUACGGGAGGCAGCAGUGGGGAAUUUUGCGCAAUGGGCGAAAGCCUGACGCAGCAACGCCGCGUGAGUGAUGAAGGCUUUCGGGUCGUAAAGCUCUGUCGAGGGGAAAGAAGUGUACGGAGGUUAAUACCCUCUGUAUUUGACGGUACCCCUAAAGGAAGCACCGGCUAACUCCGUGCCAGCAGCCGCGGUAAUACGGGGGGUGCAAGCGUUGUUCGGAAUUAUUGGGCGUAAAGCGCGUGUAGGCGGUUUGAUUAGUCUGAUGUGAAAGCCCUGGGCUCAACCCAGGAAGUGCAUUGGAAACUGUCAGACUUGAAUACGGGAGAGGGUAGUGGAAUUCCUAGUGUAGGAGUGAAAUCCGUAGAUAUUAGGAGGAACACCGGUGGCGAAGGCGGCUGCCUGGACCGAUAUUGACGCUGAGACGCGAAAGCGUGGGUAGCAAACAGGAUUAGAUACCCUGGUAGUCCACGCCGUAAACGAUGAGAACUAGGUGUUGCGGGUAUUGACCCCUGCAGUGCCGCAGCUAACGCAUUAAGUUCUCCGCCUGGGAAGUACGGUCGCAAGACUAAAACUCAAAUGAAUUGACGG